AGGAUUAUAGUUUAAUUUAAAACACUUGAUUUGCACUCAAAAAAUAUUGAAUUUCAAUUUAUCUUA
rnacentral:tRNA from 1 species